CAAAUGUGGGGAGGGGAGAGAAAACAGGAGACAAAAAAACAUAAUGAAGAAGCAAAUUAUAUUGUACACCGAAUGAUAGGAUGGACAUAUGACUAACUUCUCCCACGGUAGGAGUCGUUGGAGGAACUUCUGGAAAUGCUGCCCCCAAAGAAAGACUUCCCUUUUCCUCUUUUUUUUCUGCUCCAGACACAGAUGUGAUAGCUGGCAUUGCAUUAGCCAUCUUAUGAUGGUGAAGCAAUUUGUACAAAGGAUGAUUGAGCAUAAACAAUGAAGGCCCCUGGGACAUUGAUAAUAUCAGGAAGUCCCCAUACAAGUCCAAGACUCUGUACUUGUUUCACAUUAGUGAAAAUAAACUUUAUCUUAUUUAAGCCACUGUA